rnacentral:rRNA from 1 species
AGAGUUUGAUCCUAGCUCAGGAUGAACGCUAGCGGUGUGCCUAAGAUAUGCAAGUCGAGCGACUCGCCGAAAGGCGGGUAGCGGCGGACGGCUGAGUAACACGUAUGGACUUACCCCAAUCUCAAGAAUACCUCCGCGAAAGCGGGGCUAAUACUUGAUACCCUUGAAAAAGGAAAGGACGUAACUGUUCGGAUAGGGAGAGACAUGCGGACUAUCAGGUAGUUGGUAGGGUAACGGCCUACCAAGCCUAUGACGGUUAGCUGAUCUUAUGAGGAUGGUCAGCCAGAGGAGCACUGAGACACGGGCUCCACACCUACGGGUGGCAGCAAUCAGGAAUAGUUGGCAAUGGGCGAAAGCCUGACCACGCGACACCGCGUGCGGGAAGAAGCUCUCAUCGAGUGUAAACCGCUGUGGUAAGGGAAAAAGUCUCGCCUCAAGGCGGGAUUGAUGGUACCUUACUAGAAAGUAACCGCUAACUGCGUGCCAGCAGCGGCGGUAAUACGUGGGUUACAAGCGUUAUCCGAUGUUAUUGGGCGUAAAGCGUGUGUAGGUGUCUUGAUAAGUUUUUGUUUAAAGACCAAAGCUCAACUUUGGGAAAGGCAAAAAGACUGCCAAGAUAGAGUUUUCUUUAGGGAAACCGGAAUUUAUGGAGGAGUAGUGAAAUGCGUUGAUACCAUAAAGAACACCAGUGGCGAAGGCGGGUUUCUGGAAGAAAACUGACACUGAGACACGAAAGCUAGGGGAGCGAAUCGGAUUAGAGACCCGAGUAGUCCUAGCCCUAAACAAUGCUUGCUAACCGGGGUGAACUUUUUUAGUUUUGCCCUGGUGCAGCUUACGCGUUAAGCAAGCCGCCUGGGAAGUAUGACCGCAAGGUUGAAACUCAAAGGAAUUGGCGGGGAGACACACAACUAGUGGAGCAUGUGGUUCAAUUCGAUACGAACCGAAGCACCUCACCAGGGCUCGACAUGAUAGACUGUUAGGGCCGUGAAAGCGGACACCGAUCUUGAUCUAAAACAUCGAGAAUCUAUCAAAGCUGUUGCAUGGCUGUCGUCAGUUCGUUCUGUAAAGAGUGCCCUUAAGUGGGACAACGAACGCAACCUUCGUCGCAAGUUACAAGUGUCUUGCGAGACUGCCCUAUCAUUUGAUGGGGAGGAAGGAGAAGCAGACGUCAAGUCAGCAUGACGCCUAUGUCCUGGGCCACACACAUGCUACAAUGAACAAGACAAAGGGUCGCAACCUGGCAACAGUAAGCAAAUCCCAAAAACUUGUUCUUCAGUGGGGAUUGAGGUCUGCAACUCGACCUCAUGAACGCGGAAUUAGUAGUAAUCGCGGAUCAGCUAUGCCGCGGUGAAUACGUUCUUGUCUCUUGCACACACUGCCCGUCAAGCCAACAAAGUCGGGAGUACCCGAACCCCGAUUGAAUCGGGGGAGGGUAAAACCGGCGAUGGGGGCUAAGUCGUAACAAGGUACCCGUUCUGGAAGGAGCGGGUGAAUCACCUCCU